CUACAUACUUGGCAAAACUGAUGAAAGUCAGCGACGCAAAGCUAAAGGGUCUAAAUCAUAGUAUAUGAUAUGACAGCCAGUUGCCCCU
rfam:Clostridium asparagiforme DSM 15981 genomic scaffold Scfld6, whole genome shotgun sequence.